UACGGGGGGGGGCAAGCGUUUGUUCGGAAUUACUGGGCGUAAAGGGCGCGUAGGCGGUUUGCUAAGUUGAAUGUGAAAACUCUGGGCUUAACCCAGAGCCUGCAUUCAAUACUGGCAGGCUAGAGUUCGGUAGGGGAGACUGGAAUUCCUGGUGUAGCGGUGAAAUGCGCAGAUAUCAGGAGGAACACCGAUGGCGAAGGCAGGUCUCUGGGCCGAUACUGACGUUCAGGUACGAAAGCGUGGGGAGCAAACAGG
rnacentral:rRNA from 1 species